rnacentral:tRNA from 1 species
GGAGAGAUGGCUGAGUGGCCUAAAGCACCGGUUUUGAAAACCGGCGGUGGGGUAACCCACCCUAGGGUUCGAAUCCCUAUCUCUCCGCCA